rnacentral:rRNA from 1 species
CCGGACCGGCGCACGGGUGAGUAACACGUAUGCAACCUGGCCGCCACAGGGGGAUAACCCGCGGAAACGCGGCCUAAUACCCCGUGACGCCACCGGAGGGCAUCCUCCGGUGGCCAAAGGAGCGAUCCGGUGGCGGAUGGGCAUGCGGCGCAUUAGCUAGACGGCGGGGUGACGGCCCACCGUGGCGACGAUGCGUAGGGGUUCUGAGAGGAAGGCCCCCCACACUGGGACUGAGACACGGCCCAGACUCCUACGGAAGGCAGCAG